CCUACGGGAGGCAGCAGUAGGGAAUAUUGCUCAAUGGGGGAAACCCUGAAGCAGCAACGCCGCGUGGAGGAUGAAGGAUUUCGGAUUGUAAACUCCUUUUGGUAGAGAAGAUAAUGACGGUAUCUAACGAAUAAGCACCGGCUAACUCCGUGCCAGCAGCCGCGGUAAUACGGAGGGGGCAAGCGUUACCCGGAAUUACUGGGCGUAAAGAGCGCGUAGGCGGGAGAGCAAGUCAGAUGUGAAAUCCUAUGGCUUAACCAUAGAACUGCUUUGGAAACUGUUAAUCUAGAGUGUGGGAGAGGUAGGUGGAAUUCUUGGUGUAGUGGUGAAAUGCGUAGAGAUCAAGAGGAAUACUCAUUGCGAAGGCGGCCUGCUAGAACAUAACUGACGCUGAUGCGCGAAAGCGUGGGGAGCAAACAGGAUUAGAUACCCUUGUAGUC
rnacentral:rRNA from 1 species